rnacentral:misc_RNA from 1 species
GAUGAAGAACGUAGCGAAAUGCGAUACUUGGUGUGAAUUGCAGAAUCCCGUGAUCCAUCGAGUCUUUGAACGCAAGUUGCGCCCGAAGCCAUUAGGCCGAGGGCACGCCUGCCUGGGCGUCACACGUCGUUGCCCCCCCAUCUACUCCUUCGGGAUUGCGGGGGGCGGAUGAUGGCCUCCCGUGCGCCUCGCCGCGCGGUUGGCAUAAAUGCCAAGUCCUCGGCGACGCACGCCACGACAAUCGGUGGUUGCGAAACCUCGGUUGCCCGUCGUGUGCGGUCGUCGCGCAUCGAGGGCUCGAAAAAAUUGCCGGGUUCCGGCUCGGCUUUCAACGCGACCCCAGGUCAGGCGGGGUUACCCGCUGAAUUUAAGCAUAUCAAUAAGCGGAGGA